AUAUCAAAAUCUGAGCAAACAACUUGAUGUCAAAAGAAUCUCUGCACAUUCCGCAGUCUUUGCUGCUAAAGUGACAUCACAGCAUUUAAGCAUGUUUGAAUGAAAACAUCAGCAUAUGAACACAAAACUGAAGAGACACUGCAACCGAAUGAAAGCAGACCACUAUUUAGUGACAUUUGGACGUUUCCCUGAGGAUUAACUGCUGUGUAAUCUACCAAGAACUAAAUCAAAAUGAGUGCAAGUGGAGACGGACCACAAAAUAACCAAAACGGCCAACAGGUUAACCCACGAAUGUUGGCAAAUGGAGAUCAGGAACCUGCUAAUGGCUUCCUGAACGAUCUGUAUC